rnacentral:rRNA from 1 species
ACGGGAGGCAGCAGUGGGGAAUAUUGGGCAAUGGGCGAAAGCCUGACCCAGCAACGCCGCGUGAAGGAUGAAGGUCCUCGGAUUGUAAACUUCUUUUAUCAGGGAAGAGGAACGUGACGGUACCUGAUGAAUAAGCCACGGCUAACUACGUGCCAGCAGCCGCGGCAAUACGUAGGUGGCGAGCGUUAUCCGGAUUUACAGGGUGUAAAGGGCGCGUAGGCGGGGAUGCAAGUCAGAUGUGAAAUCCAUGGGCUUAACUCAUGAACUGCAUUUGAAACUGGAUGUCUUGAGUGUCGGAGAGGUAGAUGGAAUUCCUAGUGUAGCGGUGAAAUGCGUAGAUAUUAGGAGGAACACCAGUGGCGAAGGCGGUCUACUGGACGAUAACUGACGCUGAGGCGCGAAAGCGUGGGGAGCAAACAGGAUUAGAUACCCUGGUA